GCGUGAGCAAUCUACCUUAGUUACAGGGAUAGCCCGAGGAAACUCGGAUUAAUACCUGAUAUUCUUUAUAUUUCGCAUGAAAUUAAAAGGAAAGGUCAGCCGAACUAAGAUGAGCUCGCGUUCUAUCAGCUAGUUGGUGAGGUAAAAGCUCACCAAGGCUACGACGGAUAGCUGGUCUGAGAGGACGAUCAGCCACACCGGGACUGAGACACGGCCCGGACUCCUACGGGAGGCAGCAGUCGGGAAUAUUGCGCAAUGGGGGAAACCCUGACGCAGCCAUGCCGCGUGUGUGAAGAAGGC
rnacentral:rRNA from 1 species